rnacentral:rRNA from 1 species
UUGACGGGACCCGCACAGCGUGGAUGAUGUGGUUAAUUCGAUGCAACGCGAAAACCUUACCCACCUUGACAUGUACGGAAUCCUUUAGAGAUAGAGGAGUGCUCGAAAGAGAGCCGUAACACAGGUGCUGCAUGGCUGUCGUCAGCUCGUGUCGUGAGAUGUUGGGUUAAGUCCCGCAACGAGCGCAACCCUUGUCAUUAGUUGCUACGAAAGGGCACUCUAAUGAGACUGCCGGUGACAAACCGGAGGAAGGUGGGGAUGACGUCAAGUCCUCAUGGCCCUUAUAGGUGGGGCUACACACGUCAUACAAUGGCUGGUACAAAGGGUUGCCAACCCGCGAGGGGGAGCCAAUCCCAUAAAGCCAGUCGUAGUCCGGAUCGCAGUCUGCAACUCGACUGCGUGAAGUCGGAAUCGCUAGUAAUCGUGGAUCAGCAUGUCACGGUCGAAUACGUUCCCGGGUCUU